CAGUCGCCACGGUAAUACAGAGGGUGCGAGCGUUAAUCGGAUUUACUGGGCGUAAAGCGUGCGUAGGCGGCUAAUUGAGUCGGAUGUGAAAUCCCCGAGCUUAACUUGGGAAUUGCAUUCGAUACUGGUUAGCUAGAGUGUGGGUGAGGAUGGUAGAAUUCCAGGUGUAGCGGUGAAAUGCGUAGAGAUCUGGAGGAAUACCGAUGGCGAAGGCAGCCAUCUGGCCUAACACUGACGCUGAGGUACGAAAGCAUGGGGAGCAAACAGGAUUAGAUACCCCUGUAGUCCCUGUCUCUUAUAC
rnacentral:rRNA from 1 species